rnacentral:rRNA from 1 species
UACGUAGGGCGCAAGCGUUGUCCGGAAUUACUGGGCGUAAAGCGUGCGCAGGCGGUUAUGUAAGACAGUUGUGAAAUCCCCGGGCUCAACCUGGGAACUGCAUCUGUGACUGCAUAGCUAGAGUACGGUAGAGGGGGAUGGAAUUCCGCGUGUAGCAGUGAAAUGCGUAGAUAUGCGGAGGAACACCGAUGGCGAAGGCAAUCCCCUGGACCUGUACUGACGCUCAUGCACGAAAGCGUGGGGAGCAAACAGG